UGGGGAAUAUUGCACAAUGGGCGCAAGCCUGAUGCAGCCAUGCCGCGUGUAUGAAGAAGGCCUUCGGGUUGUAAAGUACUUUCAGUCGGGAGGAAGGUGGUAAGGUUAAUAACCUUAUCAAUUGACGUUACCGACAGAAGAAGCACCGGCUAACUCCGUGCCAGCAGCCGCGGUAAUACGGAGGGUGCAAGCGUUAAUCGGAAUUACUGGGCGUAAAGCGCACGCAGGCGGUUGAUUGAGUCAGAUGUGAAAUCCCCGGGCUUAACCCGGGAAAUGCAUCUGAUACUGGUCAGCUAGAGUCUUGUAGAGGGGGGUAGAAUUCCAUGUGUAGCGGUGAAAUGCGUAGAGAUGUGGAGGAAUACCGGUGGCGGAGGCGGCCCCCUGGACAAAGACUGACGCUCAGGUGCGAAAGCGUGGGGAGCAAACAGG
rnacentral:rRNA from 1 species